AUUGAACGCUGGCGGCAGGCUUAACACAUGCAAGUCGAGCGGGGAAGGGUAGCUUGCUACCUAACCUAGCGGCGGACGGGUGAGUAAUGCUUAGGAAUCUGCCUAUUAGUGGGGGACAACGUUCCGAAAGGAAUGCUAAUACCGCAUACGCCCUACGGGGGAAAGCAGGGGAUCUUCGGACCUUGCGCUAAUAGAUGAGCCUAAGUCAGAUUAGCUAGUUGGUGGGGUAAAGGCCUACCAAGGCGACGAUCUGUAGCGGGUCUGAGAGGAUGAUCCGCCACACUGGGAGUGAGACACGGCCCAGACUCCUACGAGAGGCAGCAGUGGGGAAUAUUGGACAAUGGGCGCAAGCCUGAUCCAGCCAUGCCGCGUGUGUGAAGAAGGCCUUUUGGUUGUAAAGCACUUUAAGCGAGGAGGAGGCUACUUGGAUUAAUACUCUAGGAUAGUGGACGUUACUCGCAGAAUAAGCACCGGCUAACUCUGUGCCAGCCGCCGCGGUAAUAC
rnacentral:rRNA from 1 species